ensembl:snRNA
AUGUAGUAUGAAAGGAGAAAGGGUAGCAGUGCCCUCGACAAGAAGGGACGAGGCCCUUAGGCUUGCCAACUUGCACAAUUCAGGCAUUGCCAUCUACCCUCCAUUUUUA